rnacentral:tRNA from 1 species
GGUGGCUCAGUGGUAAGAGUGCUUGCCUUGCAUGCAUGAGGCCCUGGGUUUGAUUCCUUAGCACCA